rnacentral:rRNA from 1 species
UACGGAGGAUCCAAGCGUUAUCCGGAUUUAUUGGGCUUAAAGGGUGCGUAGGCGGCCUAUUAAGUCAGGUGUGAAAGACGGUAGCUUAACUAUCGCAGUGCCUUUGAUACUGAUGGGCUUGAAUGUACUUGAGGUAGGCGGAAUGUGACAAGUAGCGGUGAAAUGCAUAGAUAUGUCACAGAACACCAAUUGCGAAGGCAGCUUACUAAAGUAUGAUUGACGCUGAGGCACGAAAGCGUGGGGAUCAAACAGG